UGAUUUCUGGCUGAAACACGUGG
rnacentral:misc_RNA from 1 species